rnacentral:tRNA from 1 species
UCCCCGGUAGCUCAGUUGGUAGAGCGGGUGGCUGUUAACCACUUGGUCGCUGGUUCGAGUCCGGCCCGGGGAGCCA